GAAUAAAUCUAAAUAAUUUAGAUUUUAAUUUCGACUUAAAAUUAUGAUUAAAUAAUUAAUCUAUUCA
rnacentral:tRNA from 1 species